GAUGUUAGCGGCGGACGGGUGAGUAACACGUGGGUAACCUGCCUGUAAGACUGGGAUAACUCCGGGAAACCGGGGCUAAUACCGGAUGGUUGUUUGAACCGCAUGGUUCAAACAUAAAAGGUGGCUUCGGCUACCACUUACAGAUGGACCCGCGGCGCAUUAGCUAGUUGGUGAGGUAACGGCUCACCAAGGCAACGAUGCGUAGCCGACCUGAGAGGGUGAUCGGCCACACUGGGACUGAGACACGGCCCAGACUCCUACGGGAGGCAGCAGUAGGGAAUCUUCCGCAAUGGACGAAAGUCUGACGGAGCAACGCCGCGUGAGUGAUGAAGGUUUUCGGAUCGUAAAGCUCUGUUGUUAGGGAAGAACAAGUACCGUUCGAAUAGGGCGGUACCUUGACGGUACCUAACCAGAAAGCCACGGCUAACUACGUGCCAGCAGCCGCGGUAAUACGUAGGUGGCAAGCGUUGUCCGGAAUUAUUGGGCGUAAAGGGCUCGCAGGCGGUUUCUUAAGUCUGAUGUGAAAGCCCCCGGCUCAACCGGGGAGGGUCAUUGGAAACUGGGGAACUUGAGUGCAGAAGAGGAGAGUGGAAUUCCACGUGUAGCGGUGAAAUGCGUAGAGAUGUGGAGGAACACCAGUGGCGAAGGCGACUCUCUGGUCUGU
rnacentral:rRNA from 1 species